rnacentral:rRNA from 1 species
UACGAAGGGGGCUAGCGUUGUUCGGAAUUACUGGGCGUAAAGGGCGCGUAGGCGGUUCUUUAAGUCAGGCGUGAAAGCCCUGGGCUCAACCUGGGAGUGGCGCUUGAUACUGGAGGACUAGAGAGUGGGAGAGGUUGGUGGAAUUCCCAGUGUAGAGGUGAAAUUCGUAGAUAUUGGGAAGAACACCGGUGGCGAAGGCGGCCAACUGGACCAUUUCUGACGCUGAGGCGCGAAAGCGUGGGGAGCAAACAGG